rnacentral:rRNA from 1 species
UACAGAGGGUGCAAGCGUUAAUCGGAAUUACUGGGCGUAAAGCGUGCGUAGACGGUUAUGUAAGUCUGGUGUGAAAUCUCGGAGCUCAACUCCGAAACUGCACUGGAUACUGCUCUGCUAGAGGGCUGGAGAGGAGAUCGGAAUUCACGGUGUAGCAGUGAAAUGCGUAGAUAUCGUGAGGAAGACCAGUGGCGAAGGCGGAUCUCUGGACAGCUCCUGACGCUGAGGCGCGAAGGCUAGGGGAGCAAACGGG